CUAGCGGCAGGCCUAAUACAUGCAAGUCGAACGGCAAGUGUUGUAGCAAUACAAUACCUAGAGUGACGUACGGGUGCGUAACACGUAUGCAACCUACCCUUUACAGGGGUAUAGCUCGGUGAAAACCGGAUUAACCCCCCAUAAGACCACACAAUGGCAUCUGAGAGUGGUAAAAUUUGCGGAGGUAAAGGAUGGGCAUGCGGAUGAUUAGCUAGUUGGCGGUGUAACGGACCCCCAAGGCGAUGAUCAUUAGGGGAACUGAGAGGUUGAUCCCCCACACUGGCACUGAGAUACGGGCCAGACUCCUACGGGAGGCAGCAGUAGGGAAUAUUGGUCAAUGGGUGAGAGCCUGAACCAGCCAUGCCGCGUGCAGGAAGACGGCCUUAUGGGUUGUAAACUGCUUUUGUCAGGGGCUAAAAGGCUCAUGCGUGAGCGAUUGAAAGUACCUGGCGAAUAAGCCACGGCUAACUACGUGCCAGCAGCCGCGGUAAUACGUAGGUGGCAAGCGUUGUCCGGAUUUAUUGGGUUUAAAGGGUGCGUAGGCGGCCCUGUAAGUCAGUGCUGAAAUAUCCCGGCUUAACCGGGAGGGUGGCAUUGAUACUGCGGG
rnacentral:rRNA from 1 species